rnacentral:rRNA from 1 species
AACGAACGCUGGCGGCAUGCCUAACACAUGCAAGUCGAACGAAGGCUUCGGCCUUAGUGGCGCACGGGUGCGUAACGCGUGGGAAUCUGCCCUUGGGUUCGGAAUAACUCAGAGAAAUUUGAGCUAAUACCGGAUGAUGACGUAAGUCCAAAGAUUUAUCGCCCAAGGAUGAGCCCGCGUAGGAUUAGCUUGUUGGUGAGGUAAAGGCUCACCAAGGCGACGAUCCUUAGCUGGUCUGAGAGGAUGAUCAGCCACACUGGGACUGAGACACGGCCCAGACUCCUACGGGAGGCAGCAGUGGGGAAUAUUGGACAAUGGGCGAAAGACCUGAUCCAGCAAUGCCGCGUGAGUGAUGAAGGCCUUAGGGUUGUAAAGCUCUUUUACCCG